AGCUUUGAGCAGUGGCAGUAUCGUAGCCAAUGAGGUUUAGCCGAGGUGCGAUUAUUGCUAAUUGAAAAGAGACUAUUCCUUUCACUAGCAAAUUUAC
ensembl:snRNA U4 U4 spliceosomal RNA